CCUACGGGUGGCAGCAGUGGGGAAUAUUGGUCAAUGGGCGCAAGCCUGAACCAGCGACGCCGCGUGAGUGAUGAAGGCCUUCGGGUUGUAAAGCUCUGUGGGGAGGGAAGAAAACGUCUCGGGCGAAUAGGCCGAGACCUUGACGGUACCUCCUUAGCAAGCACCGGCUAACUCUGUGCCAGCAGCCGCGGUAAGACAGAGGGUGCAAACGUUGCUCGGAAUUACUGGGCGUAAAGCGCGUGUAGGCGGAUCGGCAAGUCGGGCGUGAAAUCCCUGGGCUCAACCCAGGAACUGCACUCGAAACUGCCGGUCUUGAGGAAUGGAGAGGGAAGCGGAAUUCCUGGUGUAGAGGUGAAAUUCGUAGAUAUCAGGAGGAACACCGGUGGCGAAGGCGGCUUCCUGGACAUUUACUGACGCUGAGACGCGAAAGCGUGGGGAGC
rnacentral:rRNA from 1 species